rnacentral:tRNA from 1 species
GGUGACUCAGCGGUAGAGUGCUUGCCUCGCAUGCAUGAGGUCCUGGGUUCGAUUCCUCAGCACCA